rnacentral:piRNA from 1 species
UGAAAUGAGAAAAGGAGGUGGCUGUGGC